rnacentral:rRNA from 1 species
GACGAACGCUGGCGGUGUGCUUCACACAUGCAAGUCGAACGGAGUAGCAAUACUCAGUGGCGGACGGGUGAGUAACGCGUAGGAAUCUGCCUUUAGGUGGGGGAUAACAGUCCGAAAGGAUUGCUAAUACCGCAUGAGUAUGGGAGACGACAGUCUCUUAUAUGAAAGGAGCAAUUUGCCUGAAGAUGAGCCUGCGUCCGAUUAGCUAGUUGGUAGGGAAAAGCCUACCAAGGCGACGAUCGGUAGCUGGUCUGAGAGGAUGAUCAGCCACACUGGGACUGAGACACGGCCCAGACUCCUACGGGAGGCAGCAGUGGGGAAUAUUGGACAAUGGGCGCAAGCCUGAUCCAGCAAUGCCGCGUGUGUGAAGAAGGUCUUCGGAUUGUAAAGCACUUUCGGCGGGGACGAUG